rnacentral:rRNA from 1 species
UACGUAGGGACCAAGCGUUGUCCGGAAUCAUUGGGCGUAAAGAGCGUGUAGGCGGCUUGUUAAGUCUGAUGUGAAAGCCCUGGGCUCAACCUGGGAAUGGCAUUGGAAACUGGCGACCUAGAGUGCGGUAGAGGGUAGUGGAAUUCCCGGUGUAGCAGUGAAAUGCGUAGAGAUCGGGAGGAACAUCUGUGGCGAAGGCGACUGCCUGGACCAGCACUGACACUGAGGCACGAAAGCGUGGGGAGCAAACAGG